rnacentral:tRNA from 2 species
GCGCUGGUGGCGGAAUUGGCAGACGCGCUAGGUUGAGGGCCUAGUGAGAGAUAAUCUCAUGCGGGUUCAAGUCCCGCCCAGCGCACCA